AACCUAAAGGCAAAACUACCAUCAUCUUUAGUUUUCAAGGUACCCGUAAACUACUUAGUCAAACUUCUUCUCCAGUCAAAUAAUAAAAACGCAUGAUGAAUCUCAUCGGAUCCUCACAUCUCAGGCUGCAUUGGGAAGUCUCAUCCUUGUCAUACCUAUGCAGAAAUCACCUGAUUCGUUGCUCUCUAGAGUCCCAUCUGUUUCAGCCUCUGGAAAUGACAGAACAUUAAAGAAUUUUUAACAGCUUCAAGAGGAAUCCUAGGAGCCAAAGACCAGUACAUUUGAUUUGCUGACCAAACCAGUA